AGCCUUCUGUAUCCGUGCUGAGAUUUCGUUGGAGAUCAACCCGUUGGGGAUGAUGGUGCUUCCCAAAUAAGUGAAGCG
rnacentral:pre_miRNA from 1 species